rnacentral:lncRNA from 1 species
CCAUGAGCAAGUUCCUCGUUUAUUUUUUGUCCUGAAUUGAAGUCUCUAAAAACUGUGAAACCAGUCUACUGUACCUAAGCAGCCAUGCUGACCCCUCAAAGUCCAAGGAGACAUUUCAGCUGGUGAAUUAAGGCACCAAUGUGCAUUGAGGCACCAAUCUCCAUUCUCCAGAUUUAUUUUCUGUCAUGGAAGCGUCAGUAAUGAAAAAAAGAUCAAAAUGAAUUCUCUGAUGUAGCUGGCUCUUGAUCCCUUAACUGCUUUGAAAACUUGAAUUAAGGUUUUCGGCUUGUGUAAGAAUGUGCUUGGAUGCCAAUGGAAGCUUUUCAGCAUAAAAUUCAUUUUCUACCCAGCCCAAAGCCCUGGAAGGAGGAAAUCAGUCACAGAGUCACCAUCAGGAUCUUUUGCAAGAUUGAGAACUAA